rnacentral:rRNA from 1 species
UACGUAGGGGCAAGCGUUGUCCGGAAUCAUUGGGCGUAAAGAGCGUGUAGGCGGCUCGGUAAGUCCGCUGUGAAAGUCCAGGGCUCAACCCUGGAAUGCCGGUGGAAACUGUCGAGCUAGAGUCCGGAAGAGGCGAGUGGAAUUCCUGGUGUAGCGGUGAAAUGCGGCAGAUAUCAGGAGGAACACCAAUGGCGAAGGCAGCUCGCUGGGACGGUACUGACGCUGAGACGCGAAAGCGUGGGGAGCAAACAGG